UUCCCCAUUGAAACGAUGACCUGGCCACGUGUUCUUAAUGCACACGUGGUCAUCCCCACACACGCCACAAGAAACGAUCGAAUUUCUCGAAUUCGCGAUUGAUCGCGAGCGCAACGCGGUGACAAGGCUAGUAUAGAUCUACAUAUAGGAAGUAUUAUGAGAAAUCCAAAUUGUAAGAAAUGAAUUAGGCACUAUGAAAACUUGUGCAGCGGAAAUAAUUAAAUUAAGGAAGAAUUUAAUUGAAAAAGAAUUUAAUUAAUAAAAAUUAAUAAUAAUAAAAAUUU
rnacentral:misc_RNA from 1 species